rnacentral:rRNA from 1 species
UACGAGGGGGGCAAGCGUUGUUCGGAAUUAUUGGGCGUAAAGGGCGCGUAGGCGGUGCGGUAAGUCACCUGUGAAACCUCUAGGCUUAACCUAGAGCCUGCAGGCGAAACUGCCGUGCUUGAGGGUGGGAGAGGUGCGUGGAAUUCCCGGUGUAGCGGUGAAAUGCGUAGAUAUCAGGAGGAACACCGGUGGCGAAGGCGGGUCUCUGGGCAGUAACUGACGCUGAGGAGCGAAAGCGUGGGGAGCGAACAGG